AGAGAAGUUUGAGAACCUUAAGUAUUAAUCUAUGAUUUGAACACGAAAAGACUUGUCUCUCAAACAAAACAAGAAAAUAUUUUCCUAUUUUGAAAAUUUUUGAGUGCUAAUCAUGGCGAUCUCUCACGUUCAUCUUUUUCUUCUCCUCAUCCUAUCACUCUUCUUAUUACCUACUUUGCGGGCCAUCGAUUAUUCUGACUGCGGUGAUGUAAGUUCUCCUGUUGAAGUCACUAGUGUGGAGGAGAUACUUAAGGAUAAGGACAAGGCAAGCUUUAAAAUAUCCGGUUCAACAAGUACUUCAUCGACUCCCUUCGCAAAUUUUCUUUAUUUUUCUUCAAGUUUUUCACUUGUAGUUUAGUUUGUUUUGUUUUGCAUAAAGUUUUAACUGUGAACAGGUAAAAAUAUCACUGGAGGAGAUAUUUACGUGGAUGUUAAAGAGGCCUGAUUCGUUACUCUACUAGCAACUACGACUUAUGUGCAUGUAUGGCAUGCCCUGUUGCACCUGGUGCCUUCGUGCUUCCCCUAGACAAUCUUUUUCGUUCAUAUCCAAUGGUUAAUUUUCUUACAUUUAUUUUCUCGUAAUUGUUAAUAUUGCGUGAUAAAAGAUUAGGUACUGCAUAUGAAUUUUUGUUGCACGUAUAAUAAAUAUAAAUAAGAUAAAAUUAUUUUUAAAGGAAAAUAAAAUGAUGAGAACUAUUGGUCCAAUUGUUAAAAGACCCAUCAUAGGGUUAGAGGACUAGAGUUCGAAUCUUUCCACAGAAAAUGACAAGAAUAUUCGAUGUUCCACUUGCUCCAAAAUUGGUUUGGGGUUCGGUUCGAGAUCUCUCGGUCAUAAAAAAAAAACUAGGAAUGAUGUGUUCCACAAGGAAAAAACACAACAUCAAAUGUAUCUAUCACUUGUGUUCUUUUUGUUUUGGGUCAACCAAUUGUGCUUUCUAUCAUCAAAUUUCAACAGUUAGUUAGGUUUAUUCCACUUCCAUUGAAUAUAAUUUUGAAGAUCAAGCUCCUAGCCUGAGGCGGCGCAGUUGGAAAGCAUGUUACAACUACAAGAUUGGAGAUUGAAUUUCAACUAGGUGCAAAUAAAUCAUUCGAGCUACUCAAUUUAGUAGUUUAAUGAUUUAUCUGAUGGUGAAUUUGCGAGAAACUUCUUAUUAAAUAGCUUGUUCUACCCUAAGAUUAGUCAUAUUGCUCAACCAUCGAACCACAUAAUAGAACAAAUCAACAAACUAAGAAAAAGAUUAGUUAGAUAUUUUUAUUGAAAAAAUAUUCUUUCAUUAACACCAUUUUGUUGGCUCUAACGAUUUAUUAUUUUUUGCUCAUUUUUUAUAUUUACAGGUGACAUUCAAGGUUCAAUUAAAUAUUUUUGACGACUCUAAAGAUGUGAAUGAAAUAAUGUGCCUCACUUUCAGGUACAAGACUAAACGUUCCUUCGCGGUCUCUGGUUAAUCAAGUUGCCGGAUGAAAAAAUGUUCUCAAGUAUGAUCUCUUUAUAUUGUAUGAUAAACUUGCAUUAUGUAUGUUUUUUUCUUCUUCCCUUUUGUGUGGUAACCAAGAAACAAAAUAAGUGUUUGUAUAUAGUUCUUUAAUUUCGUUUGAUUUCUUUCAACCGGUGAUAAUAAGGUAAAAAAUCUAGACGCUUUCCUAGUAUAAAGCUCCAAGUUGCUAUGAAUAUGACUCAGAAUUGACUGGGA
rnacentral:sRNA from 1 species